rnacentral:rRNA from 1 species
GUAGGUGGCAAGCGUUGUCCGGAAUUAUUGGGCGUAAAGCGCGCGCAGGUGGUUCUUUAAGUCUGAUGUGAAAGCCCCCGGCUCAACCGGGGAGGGUCAUUGGAAACUGGGGAACUUGAGUGCAGGAGAGGAAAGUGGAACUCCACGUGUAGCGGUGAAAUGCGUAGAUAUGUGGAGGAACACCAGUGGCGAAGGCGACUUUCUGGCCUGUAACUGACACUGAGGCGCGAAAGCGUGGGGAGCAAACAGGGAUUAGAUACCCUGGUAGUCCACGCCGUAAACGAUGAGUGCUAAGUGUUGGGGGGGUUUCCCGCCCCUCAGUGCUGCAGCUAACGCAUUAAGCACUCCGCCUGGGGAGUACGGUCGCAAGACUG